UAAGACCUCGCGCUAUUGGAGCGGCCGAUGUCCGAUUAGCUAGUUGGUGGGGUAAUGGCCUACCAAGGCGACGAUCGGUAGCUGGUCUGAGAGGAUGAUCAGCCACACUGGGACUGAGACACGGCCCAGACUCCUACGGGAGGCAGCAGUGGGGAAUUUUGGACAAUGGGCGCAAGCCUGAUCCAGCCAUGCCGCGUGAGUGAAGAAGGCCUUCGGGUUGUAAAGCUCUUUCGGCCGGAACGAAAUCGUUCAGGCUAAUAUCCUGAAUGGAUGACGGUACCGGAAGAAGAAGCACCGGCUAACUGCGUGCCAGCAGCCGCGGUAAUACGUAGGGUGCAGGCGUUAAUCGGAAUUACUGGGCGUAAAGCGUGCGCAGGCGGCUUUCUAAGUCAGAUGUGAAAUCCCCGGGCUUAACCUGGGAACU
rnacentral:rRNA from 1 species